UUCGGUUCAGUGAGACAAACAAAAGACGAUGCGUGGAAAGUGAAAUGUGAUUAUGUUUUUGAUCAUGUAUUAUUAUUAUUAUAUAUAUUACACCUAAUUGCAGGAGCUACGGUUUUUUGAGCUAAAAUUGUUCAUGAUUAUUGCCAAAUAGAUUGACUCUAUGUUGUUGUGAAUAAAUGUGCCUUUCUGCUUCACUUUGCCUGUACCACACAAGUGUUAUGACUCUACUGUAAAAAGUAACUUGUAAUUUCCACGUGUAUUUGUAAUGUAGAGAUUUAAAAAAAAAUAGAAUUAGAAUUAUUAAUAAAUAUGGGUUUUUUUGUCGAAAAGUGGGCUGAAUAAGAACAUACAAUUGACUUGUGGAAGAAAAAAAAACAGUCUGCCGCUGUACUUCCUAUCUCUGACCGCUAGGUGCAGCAGCGGUUUAAACAGAGCACCACAAUGGAAGAAGAGAAGUAAACAGUAAAUGGGAGUUUCUCUCGGCCUUUAACCUUUUAUCGUUCUACUUCUCGCUGUUUUAUUUUAUUUCCUCGUUAAUCCACUGGUUUUAGCCAGUAUUUGUGGAUCCAGUUCGGAGGGAAUGACGAACGCCCAGUUAUUACAACAGAUGGCGCUUUUGCGCUGGCUGUCCUCACAGAGCGACGAGGACCGCGGGUUG